CUGAACUUCUCUUUCCCUGACAGCUUCUCAAGGAAGUCGUAAUAGAAUUUCAUGUGGAAGGUCAUUCCAUCGAUGUGGAGCACUCCAAUGUCCUUGAAGACAACGGCAACGUUCUCCCCAUUCUUCAGGCAGCCAGAGAGCAGGGACACGGUGCUUUGGAUGCAAGCCUGCGCUGUCUGCCAGGUCACAGAGGCAGCUGCGGCCACCUCGCUGCUCUUGAGCGGCUCCAGCUUCCUAUGGGCUGAAAAAUGGGAGGGACGGAGUUGAUGAUACGCCGUUGCCUGAAUUGAUCUUCAAGUUGUUGACACAGAAACAACUCCUGUUCCAAAGGACUCUACGCGUAACGUUGAAGACCUGUUGCCAGAAGGUUUCUUUCCUUUGCCUGGCAGUUUUUUCCUUGAUUCUUUGUUGGAACGCUCACUGAAUUACCCGGCAUUGAUCCUCGACGUCAUUGUGGUGACUGCGUCGCACCCGCAACCCUAGCGGGCAGGGAGUGCUGUGUUUGGGGGAUCUGCACCUGCACUCCCCUUCUGCUGUCCUUUCUUCCCUGUAGCCUCGCUUGCUUUUGCAUUUGCACUUCUCUUAGGCUCUUGGUUCUUCCCUGUAUUCUCCCUGCUUUUCCGUCUGCAUUCUCACUCUUUUCCUGUUUUUUCUCUUCUGCUUCUCUUCUGCUGUUCUAUCCUCUGUGUAUCCUCACUGCUCUUUCAUCUCUAUCCUUGCUCUUCAGCGUUUUUUUCCCCUGCUUCCUCUCCGUACUUCGUCUGCCCUGCUUUUCUUCCCUGUAACGUGACGUCUCUUUUCUUCUGCAUCGGCUCUCCUCCUCCUCUUUCUUCCCUGUAUUCUCACUGCUCAUUCUCGGGCAGCUGUGCUCCUCUUCUGCUGUUCUUUCCUCCUUGUAUCCUCACUCUUCUGAUGGUUUCCAUUGCAUCUCACCACUGCUCUUUCACCUGCAUCUGCUUUUCUCUUCUGCUGUAUGUUUCCCUGCUUCCUCACUCCUCUUUCUUCUGCAUUGGCUCUACUCUUCUGCUCUUCUUUCUUCCCUCACUCUUUUUCCAUCUGCCCACCUCUUAGGCUCUCCCUUCUUUUCUAUCCUCCCUGCUCUUUCCUCUGCAUUCUCACUCUUCUCCUGUUCUUAUUCCCCUGCAUCAUCCUCACUCCUUUUCCCUCUGCAUCAGCACUGCUCUUCUGUUGGAUUUUGUUUCCUGUUGCCAGACUUGUCUUUAUUCUGCAUCCGCACUCCUCUUCCCCUGUUCUUUCUUCUCUGUAUCCUCACUCCUCUUUCUGCUGCCUCUGCUCUCCUCUCUGCUUUUUUCUUUGUUCCCUGUAUUCUCACUUGUCUUUCUUCUGACUGCUCUUGAAGAGAGAGAGCAGGACCCUGCAGUUCGAGAGAGAAGGGCCUCACAGCAAGAAAGGGGAAAGCAGCUUCACAAAGUAGAAACAAGGGGCAAAUAGAGAUAGUUUAGGUAGAGAGUGUUAGAAAACAAGGGGUUCCAAGCACUUUCACAGACACUGGGUCUGGAAUAGCAAGGAGGAUGAAGGCCAUAGAGAUAAGGGCUGGAGAGCAGCUCGAAAAAACAUUUGGCAGGGAGGUGAUUAGAUGUCUACAGGGCAAGUUGAAACUGGUUUGGGGGAUGCCCCCCCUUCAGGGUCAGAAGUUUGCAGCGAGGAAGACUACGAGCCUUUGUGAGGAAGACUGCAAGCCUUCAUCAUCACGACCUACUACGCCCGCGCAAGGGGGGGAGAGACUGCAUGCUAAUGGGCUCUCGGGAAUGUAAUGAAGAUGUAUCUGAAUUCCUG
ensembl:lncRNA